UACUAGAAAUUCUGAGCAUGAUUGACAUGUGUGUGACAUGAACUACAAGGGGCAUAAUUGCCUUCUCCUUCUACCUUCCCAUCUGGGGUUUUAAAGAAACAUUUCUUUUGUUUUCCUACUUCCUAUCAUCACAUUUUCUACUCAAAUCAAUUUCCAGAAGGAAACAAAUUUAGUUUCAAAUUCCAAAUUUGAGUUGGAUGCAGUCUUGGUUAUCGGCUGAAUUCGUCUUCUAAAAAGAGUACGAGAGGAGCUUGCAGCAGUAAGCUAGGAAGAGCUUACGUCAGGCCUUGAAAGCACAGAAAGUUAGUAUUUUGUUUUGUUUAAUAUGUAUAUCACAGGGAUGGAUCUGGGGUAGUUCUAAUAUCGGCUUUCGACCCAUGUUUUUAUCUUAUUUUGAUGUGUACAUAAGGGAAAUGCUAAGGUUUUAUUUUGAUGUACAUUAGCCGCCUCUCUGAACUUGGGUCUAGGUAUAUACAUUUCCGUCUGUGUAAACUUCCACUAAUGUGUUUGGUGUGUUUAACGGUUGCUUGGGAAGUGAUAACAUUUCGAAUUGAUGUACUGUGUUGAAGUUA